rnacentral:rRNA from 1 species
UACGUAGGGGCCUAGCGUUGUCCGGAUUUAUUGGGCGUAAAGCGCGCGCAGGCGGUCCUUUAAGUCUGAUGUGAAAUCUUGCGGCUCAACCGCAAGCGGUCAUUGGAAACUGGGGGACUUGAGUACAGAAGAGGAAAGCGGAAUCCCACGUGUAGCGGUGAAAUGCGUAGAGAUGUGGAGGAACACCAGUGGCGAAGGCGGCUUUCUGGUCUGUAACUGACGCUGAGGCGCGAAAGCGUGGGGAGCAAACAGG